rnacentral:rRNA from 1 species
AGGUCACCGCUCUUGGAAUACGAUUAAGCCAUGCGAGUCGCGAGGGGUAAGCCCUCGGCGUACUGCUCAGUAACACGCGGAUAAUCUGCCCUGAGGUGGGGGAUAAGCUCGGGAAACUGAGUAUAAUACCCUAUAGACAUCGGAAACUGGAAUGUUCUGACGUUCAAAGCUCCGGCGCCUCAGGAUGAGUCUGCGGCCUAUCAGCCUGUAGUUGGUGUAACGGACCAACUAAGCUUUGACGGGUACGGGCUUUGGGAGAAGUUGCCCGGAGAUGGGUUCUGAGACACGAACCCAGGCCCUACGGGGCGCAGCAGGCGCGAAAACUUCGCAAUGUGGGAAACCACGACGAGGGAAUUCCAAGUACUAGUACUUUGUAUUAGUGGUUUUCCUGUCCAAAAAGCAGGGAGGGUAAGGGCUGGGUAAGACUGGUGCCAGCCGCCGCGGUAAUACCAGCAGCCCAAGUGGUGAUCAUUAUUAUUGGGUCUAAAACGUCCGUAGUCGGCUUAGUAAAUUCUUGGGUAAAUUGUAAAGCUUAACUUUACGAAUUCCGAGGAGACUGCUAGGCUUGGGACCGG